UGUCAUAAACGGUGAUAGGGAGCUGCUGUGUUAUGCAUCCACUGUUGAGGUGAAGGCCAUCAAAGUUCUGGGCUGGAUGGAAGCAUGAACUACAUGAACUCUCACAAUGGAAAGUAGCCCUGGUAGUCUCCCAGGUCGACUUCCAUCACAAGAAUACCAAGACUUGAACAAUUCAGGAUUUGAUGGAAUCUAUAAACACACGACAGAGGAUUUGGGCUUGUUAAAAAAUAACUUAAUAUGUAACCGUUUUAGUUCCCAUAUUAACUACUUUGAUCAGUAACUGUAGCAGCAUGUCCUUCAUAGCUCUUAGUGGAGGCGUUUAGGCUCAAUACAAAGGUUAGGAAAAAAAAGGCCAGAUUUGAGAUUAUUCUAAAUUUCCUGACAGUCUUACAUGCAGAUAUUGUUUUUCAUAGUCAUGUUUUUGGCUUCAUCCAUUUCAUUAGCCAGUUUUUAUUUAUUUUAUUUUUUAUGCAGCCCGUUUUAUGGUAAUACAUGGAUUGUUUACUGGGAAAAACCUGGGGAAUUAAUGGAGUUCUUUCAGUCUUAAUUUCAACAAUAAAAGCAAUCCUUGUGGAAAA